rnacentral:tRNA from 1 species
AUAUUGGUGAUUUAGUGGUAGAAUUCUUUCCUUCCAUGUAGGAGACCUGGGUUCAAUUCCUGGCCAAUGUA